UACGUAGGGGGCAAGCGUUGUCCGGAAUUAUUGGGCGUAAAGAGCGUGUAGGCGGUCCGGUAAGUCGGCUGUGAAAGUCCAGGGCUCAACCCUGGGAUGCCGGUCGAUACUGCCGGACUAGAGUUCGGAAGAGGCGAGUGGAAUUCCCGGUGUAGCGGUGAAAUGCGCAGAUAUCGGGAGGAACAUCUAUGGCGAAGGCAGCUCGCUGGGACGUUACUGACGCUGAGACGCGAAAGCGUGGGGAGCAAACAGG
rnacentral:rRNA from 1 species